AUGAACGGUUUACUUGAGAAGGAAUUCACGACGGAGGAGGUACGCAAUGCUCUUUUCCAAAUGGCGUCGUCGAAAGCGCCAGGUGUGGACGGUUUUACCGCUGGUUUCUUCCAGCGACAUUGGGAUGUUUUAGGCGGUGAUGUUACGGUGGCCGUGCUCGAUUUUCUGAAUGGGGGGGAGCUGCCGUUGGGCCUCAAUGACAGAACCAUCACUCUAAUUCCCAAGGUACGGAAUCCCUAGAAGAUAUCUCAAUACCGACCAAUUUCUCUUUGCCCGGUCCUAUACAAAAUUGCAGCGAAGGCGAUCACCAAUAGGUUACGCGGGCUGAUGGAUGAGAUAAUUGGGGAGGAACAAAGUACUUUUGUGCCGGGGCGAUUUAUCACUGACAACGUCCUGGUAGCUUAUGAAAGUGUACAUGCAAUGAAGAAAAAGAAGCGAUGUAAACAAGCCUCUUGUGCUGUCAAACUCGACAUGUUGAAAGCUUAUGAUCGUGUGGAAUGGCAUUAUUUGGAGGCAAUGUUAGUCAGACUUGGGUUCUGCGAUAAGUUAGUGCGUCACAUUAUGAAAUGUGUCACCUCCGUCAGAUUCACAUUUAAGGUAAACGACUCACUUUUGCCGUUUUUCACACCCUCCAGAGGGUUGCGACAAGGGGAUCCAGCAUCUCAUUUUCUCUUGCUUAUAUGUGCAGAGGGCCUCACAUCCUUAAUGAAUUAUUAUGGUGGUGCAUAUAUUAACCGAGGCAUUAGGGUGAGUGUUCACUCGCCUUGGGUUAAUCAUUUGCUCUUUGCGGAUGACAACUUGAUCUUUAUGAAUGCAAAGGUGGAAAGUGCAAAUAGAUUGAAUGACAUCCUCAGGAUCUAUGCUACCUGCUCUGGACAGACAGUAAACUGGGAGAAGAGUGCAGUUUAUCUCAGUCCUAAUGCGUUACCACCGCUAAGGACAGAGACUAAACAGACACUAGGAAUUUUUGUCGAAGCUUUUACCGAACGCUACUUGGGUUUACCAACAGCAGUCGGUAGGAUCACAAGUGGAAGUUUUUCUCAUAUUGGUGAGAGAAGCCGGAGUAAAAUGCAAGGUUGGUCAGAGAAGAACUUGGCGUGUGCUGGGAGGGAAGUAUUGCUCAAAUCAGUGGUCCAAGCCAUACCUACUUUCAGCAUGACUUGCUUUCAACUGACCAAGGGGGUCUGCUCACAAUUAACCUCCUCUAUGGCCAAAUAUUAGGUGGAGCAGCAACAUUGA
rnacentral:rRNA from 1 species